GACGAACGCUGGCGGCGUGCUUAACACAUGCAAGUCGAACGGAAAGGCCCUGCUUUUGUGGGGUGCUCGAGUGGCGAACGGGUGAGUAACACGUGAGUAACCUGCCCUUGACUUUGGGAUAACUUCAGGAAACUGGGGCUAAUACCGGAUAGGAGCUCCUGCUGCAUGGUGGGGGUUGGAAAGUUUCGGCGGUUGGGGAUGGACUCGCGGCUUAUCAGCUUGUUGGUGGGGUAGUGGCUUACCAAGGCUUUGACGGGUAGCCGGCCUGAGAGGGUGACCGGCCACAUUGGGACUGAGAUACGGCCCAGACUCCUACGGGAGGCAGCAGUGGGGAAUAUUGCACAAUGGGCGGGAGCCUGAUGCAGCAACGCCGCGUGCGGGAUGACGGCCUUCGGGUUGUAAACCGCUUUCGCCUGUGACGAAGCGUGAGUGACGGUAAUGGGUAAAGAAGCACCGGCGAACUACGU
rnacentral:rRNA from 1 species